AGAGAGACAUAGUGGUUAUGAUGUUGGCUUGAAACCAACAGGAGGAGGUUCGAUUCCUUCCUCUCUUGU